AACGAACGCUGGCGGCAGGCUUAACACAUGCAAGUCGAACGCGCCCUUCGGGGCGAGAGGCAGACGGGUGAGUAACGCGUGGGAACCUACCUUUUGGUACGGGAUAACUCAGGGAAACUUGAGCUAAUACCGUAUGUGCCCUUAUCCUUGAUCGGGUUGGGGGAAAGAUUCAUCGCCAAAGGAUGGGCCCGCGUCGGAUUAGCUAGUUGGUGGGGUAACGGCCUACCAAGGCGACGAUCCGUAGCUGGUCUGAGAGGAUGAUCAGCCACACUGGGACUGAGACACGGCCCAGACUCCUACGGGAGGCAGCAGUGGGGAAUAUUGGACAAUGGGGGCAACCCUGAUCCAGCCAUGCCGCGUGAGUGAUGAAGGCCUUAGGGUUGUAAAGCUCUUUCGCCGGUGAAGAUAAUGACGGUAACCGGAGAAGAAGCCCCGGCUAACUUCGUGCCAGCCGCCGCCGUAAUAC
rnacentral:rRNA from 1 species